AGUGAACGCUGGCGGUAGGCCUAACACAUGCAAGUCGAACGGCAGCACAGUAAGAGCUUGCUCUUACGGGUGGCGAGUGGCGGACGGGUGAGGAAUACAUCGGAAUCUACUUUUUCGUGGGGGAUAACGUAGGGAAACUUACGCUAAUACCGCAUACUACCUACGGGUGAAAGCAGGGGAUCUUCGUACCUUUCGCGAUUGAAUGAGCCGAUGUCGGAUUAGCUAGUUGGCGGGGUAAAGGCCCACCAAGGCGACGAUCCGUAGCUGGUCUGAGAGGAUGAUCAGACACACUGGAACUGAGACACGGUCCAGACUCCUACGGGAGGCAGCAGUGGGGAAUAUUGGACAAUGGGCGCAAGCCUGAUCCAGCCAUACCGCGUGGGUGAAGAAGGCCUUCGGGUUGUAAAGCCCUUUUGUUGGGAAAGAAAAGCAGCAGGUUAAUACCCCGCUGUUCUGACGGUACCCAAAGAAUAAGCACCGGCUAACUUCGUG
rnacentral:rRNA from 1 species